AGAGGAACAAGAGCUCCUUUUUGCAGGGCUUAAAGAGGUACUGACGCCACCGUCAGUGGCAGAGGGGCACAGAAGGCACUUCCCUGCCGCUUUCUCAGCCCUUGCCAGCAGAGACAAAGACCAGGAGGGUCCCAAGGCCUGUUUGGAAGCCAGGAGGCUACCACCAGGAGACUCCCUCCAGUUGCAGCUAGCAUAAAAUAGAAGAAUCAUUUCCCAGGAUUAUGCAGUGCUUUCUGCCCAGAGCUGCACAGCUCGAGCCUGGUGCAUCUGAAGCCCUUUGCAGCCAGCGCCACGGGUGCCACGGAGCCUCCUCGCUCCAUUGACUUCUGUGACCCUGCAGCCACCGGAGCUGCUGGGGGAUGGCACGUACCUGCUCAUCUUUCAGCUUUUGUUUCUGUCUGCCAGAGUUUAAGCUCUCCGGGGCUGGGACUGCUUCUUCCAGGUUCUGCAGCGUGUGGCAGGCGGGUCCCACCAGGACCCGCAGUCGCUGUGGCAGGACGGAGACACGGUACGGGUACGACUGACUGCGUGUCCUGGUGGGCUCCCAGGUGGCAAGUCAGCUCUUGCUGGCUUUCUUUAUUUCUGUGGACAAGAGAUGGGCCCAAAACACGGCUGCUGAGCACCGAUUUGUAGGACCCGUGUGUACGCCGCAGUCCUCCGCUGACAUUGCUGCGCUAGCAGAGGUGAGAAGCAGAGUGGGGAAACUGGGCCAGCAAAACCUUUCAUGUAGCAGCACUUAAACCAGCAAAGCCGUGAUUAGCAGGAACGUCUUGCUCAUGUGAGGUAAUUUUAUUAUGCCGUUUUAGCAGCCAGCAUUGAGGAUGUGACCUUGUCCAGGCUGAGAGGACACAGCUGUGUCCCUGCUGGAGCUCGCUGAGACCCGGCCUGCGUGGGAUGGAGCGAGGUGUGCCUGAGCCUAGGGAAGGCUGUGUGCUACUGCCUUCCCAAAGUAUAGCCUUACAGGAAAAUAAAUGAAAAGAUGACAUUUGGUCACUCUCCAAGGACAUGGGAUGGACAACAGGAGAGCAGCUGGACUCGGUGGAAAUGAGAUUUUCACAGCAGCUGCUAGGAGAGAGCGAGGCAGCUGCAGGAGCAGCACUGGGGAAGGCAAAGAGCUGCUGCUGGAAGGGUCCGAGGGCACAAAAAGGCCCUGCGUCCAGGGGAUGGUGCUCCCUGAGACCUCUUCUGACCCACCCUUCUGCCACUUCCACAGCAUCCCAGUCCCACAGGCAGGCACAGGGAUCUGCCUUCGCUGCAGUGCACCCGUCCCCCACCCCUAAUUUGGAUUCAUUUCCCUCUUAAAGAGCUAUCACAUUAUUACAUUAUCACAUUAUGCAAACCAAACAUCGCAAAAAGGCAGAUAGUUAACAAACAGACUGCGAGAUUAGGGUUUGCCUGUGGGAUCCAGCCUAAUCAACUGGCCUCCUUAUCUGCCUCUGAUCAGGGCGACACGCUUCCGCAUCCCGCCGAGCCAGGCAGCGCUGCGGUCCCAGAGGAGUGGAACAGCAUCUCAAUUACAUAUCUAUUUUUUUAUCACGCUGCCGAAGUAAUGAGGGUCCCAAGCUCUAAACUGCUAAAUAUCACUUGAAGUCAAAGAGACAAAUAUGCACUAAUUACAGGGAAAAGGCAGCGUCCAAACAGGCGCUCCGGUUCAGGAGCUUGGCUCUGCUGCUGCCAGCCCCCCGCAGGUGUUUGCGGUCACUUCUGCAUUUUCCCAGAGACCUUCUCUAACUAUUGUGCUCUUUUUGCAUGGCAGCAGGACGUAGGAGAAGCUUGCUGGGGAGGCACAGCCAACUUUGGAGGUGGAACAUGUGAACCAACAGAAGGAGCACAGGGUGCCUGUUUUUUGGCCAAGCUCAGCGCUGUGUCCCCCCAAAAAGUUCCAGCUGUGUACCCCAAGGGACAGCAGCUCACAGAGCACACUCCCCCUCACACACACCCUGCAUUGUGCACCCUCUGAAGGAGCUGGGGCAGAGGCACGUUCUCACCAUGCCCACCACCCCUGUUCCUCGCUCUCUUGGCUGCAGCUGCAGCUAAUCCUCGUUAGAUCAUCCCAUAUAACCUGUUCAGCUGUAAAUCGCUUCCUGCUGAGCACCCAUAAUACACAGAUUGGAGGUAACUUUACUCCAGAGAGCCAAUUAGUGCAAAUCUAGGCCUGGUAAUUACAGUGUGAUAAGAUCCUGGUUGCUGAUAUCUCUGGGCAGAUAAGGCACAAGGAAGCAAUCUCCUAAUGCAAUGGCAGUUAUUAUUAAAGCUUCACCUCAGUCCCACAAAGCCUUCAGUAGGUUCAGCAUCAGGCCUGUGCUUGUGCCACCAAGAGCAAGCUGGUGCUCCAAGAGCAAGGCAGGAGCUGGAGGGAAGAGCUACAAGCAGAGGUGGAAAUCCCCUCCUCAGCUUUUAAAGCCCAACAUUAGGCCUCCCGGUGGUGGGUAGGCAUCAGCAGGACUCGUCCUGCUUUUAUUCAUUACGUGAUCUUGCGUGGCAGCAGCCCGACGUCAGUGAGGAGCUGGAGGAGGAUGAGGCAGGAGCUGGAGGAGGAGCAGUGGGGGCGACGAAGGCUGACCCAGAGGGAACCAAAGUGUGAGUUUGAAGAGGAGAGGCUGUGCUUGGGACGAUCUCUGCUGGAGCAUCUGACCGAGGCUCAGACCAAUUAAUGCUGGAAGGAGCCCAAUCCAUCCAUCUCGUUUUUUUCUGAAGUUGAAGGCGCAGGAGCUGGAGUGCUCUCAGUCCCCAGGGACAGAUCAAAUAGCAGCCGCAGCAGCUGAUUCCCCCCAGGGUGCCAGGAACGAUGCUCGUGGGGCGCAUCUCUUGUCUGCAGCAAACAUGUUGGUGCCAGGGCCGCUGCUUUGCAGAGCUGCUCCCGGGCUGAGGAGGCAGGGGCUGCGCUUCGCUUCCAUCCAGCAAGCUGUCACUCAGCCAGAAAUCAGCAUUUAAGAUCUCACCUUCCCUCCGUGCCCUCGCAGGGGCUGACAGCCGCUCUGCGCGGCGGUUUGUCUGCGGGGCGCACGGCAGCAUCCGUUCUGUGCUUGUACCACAUGUUGGCUGCGAACCGAUGCCCAUUGCCUGACUCUGACUCAAACAAUUCCAGUCCGGUAUUUUUCCAGGGGGGAGAAUUUUUCAUUUUCCCCUGUCCAGCAAACUGUAAGAGCCACCAGCCAAAUUACCACUUUCUCUUGUGUAACUGCUCUUUAAUUUCGCCGGCUGGAUCCAGGUGGCUCAGAGGACGGUGUGGGAAUGCAAGAGCGGUGCAGAGCUCAGGCUUCAGCACUGGGAGCAGGGGCAGAGGCUGGUGGGGAAGGAGUUAAGGGCAGCCUUGGCUGGAGGAGCAGCACAACUGGGCUGCAGGAGGUGUUUGCCAGGGGAAUCAGCGCCUUCCAUGGCUAUGAAAGGGCUGGUGCUGGAGCACUGCGGGCUUUGGUGGUGGCAGCUGAGGUUUGCCAGCUAGAAGGAAGAUGGGGGAAGAGAGGGAAGCGUUAUUUUUAGCCCUGUUUCUUACCGCGGUGUUUGAUAACAGGGCUUCAGGCAGUAGCUGUUGCACAAGGUCUCUGCAGCAGCCCCACGUUGCGUUCUCAAGAGCGGGUGAUGGAGAGGGGCAGCGCGCCCGGGGACGAGCGCCGCGUGUGGAUGAGGCUCCGGGGGCUCGCUGGGUUCAGGAUCCUCUCAAGAUUUCCACCUCGCACUCGUGCUGUAGGAAGCUCUUCUCUGCUCUUGAAACAGCUGCUUGAGCCUUUCUGCUUCUGUCUUUCCCCAGCUAUGCUCAGUACCUAGCAGCCAGCCCAGCCCCGGCAGCCAGUUUAAAGCAGCUCAACUCUUUGGUGGAGAGAAGAGGUGUUUGACAAACGCUUGUGCUUCAGAUCUUAAAAAUUUAAGGUCUAGCUAGUCUGGAAGAUAUCUUCACUGAAAGGUAUUCAAUUUUUCAAUUAAAGAAGCCAAGUAGGUGUACUUCACAUUUUUCAAAACCUGAGAGCUGCUCAAACUCUGGCUAAAACCCAAUGCUGCUGCUCUCAGCAGGUCCAGGGGCUGCGUCUUAGCUGAAUAUGUCACAUUUAUUAUUGCAUCUUAGCCUUUCUAAUCGAUACGUUAACUUCCUCUGCUGUUAGCUGCUUUGUCUGGGUUACAGAAGUGUGGGAGCAACCAGAAACACGGGGGUUUCUGCUGCGCUUUGGGCUAGUUGCAGCGAGGAGCCCACCUGCACGUGGCAGGCAGCCCCCUGCCCUCUGCCUUCCCAUCCAUGGAGCCCCUGCUUGGGGGAUGAGGGGCUGGAGGGGCUGCUCGGCCCCGUGGCACCCAGGAGCUGUGCUCACUGAUGCUGGCACUGCCUGGGUGCCACCUCGCCCUGCCAGCAGGCUCCAGCCCGGUGCAAGGCGAUGCCAUGCAGCCAGUCCUCAUGGGGAAGGGCAGGGCUGGCUUCCAGCCCCCCGAUCAGCUUGGCAACAAAUAGAGCCCCCCUGGGGAACGAAACCCAGCACGUUCCAGUCCUUUAA